GGCAGCAGGAAGAGGAAGUGCCUGAGAGCUGUGCUCUAGCACCCUGUGACUUCAAGCCUGAGCCACUGCAGGCAUGUGGCUGCAUUUCCUGAAUCAAAGCAGCUGGGACUGAUGCAAGACUAUGACAGAAGUGAAAUGUUCAAGAGAGGUACCUCCUGAUGUGCCCUGAUGCCCUCCUGAUGUGCCCUGAUGUCAUACAGGGGAUUGAAAGAAGACCACCCCUCAUCUCCCUCAUUGUGUCCAGACCAUUGUCUUAAGAUUCCUCAAAAGAACCUGUAAAACCAGUUUGGUGACUCUGGCCAGAUCCAGGAGCAGAACCCACCUUUGAACUGAUUGGCCUGCAUUAAUACUGUUCCAGUGAUGCUGUUUCUUGACUGGGACCCUGUGAUGAGGUUUGCUGGAUCUCAACCAUAGUGAAAUGGCUUUAAAAAUGGGUUUUAAUUAUGUUCAGCAUUUGUUAGUUGCCAAAUGAAGAAGGGCAUAUUGACAAUAAAAAUGACACUGCUUUUGUCCUGAGUGCUUCUGGGAGUUGUCAGCAUGCUGUGACACCUGUUUAAAAUUGGAAUGCAAAUUACAGUAGGAAGACUGAAGUGCCUAAGUCUCAUGUAGAUGGAGGCCACUUGACAUCUCUUUGACAUUGAAAUCGACUCUUAAUGUGAGUAUAAAUGUAGUUUGUGCCUAAUCUUUCAAUAGUAAGGUAAAGAUUUUUUAAAAGUGUUUAGUGAUCUUGAGCCUCUCAACUUCUUAGGUGUUCAGCUUGAAAUAUGGAAGACUGAGCAGCUACUGUUCGAAAUCAAGCCCUUAGCAUUCCCAUGAAGCACCAACCACAUGUUCACUUACAAUGGCCUAUUUGUUCACCUUCAGUAGCUUGGGCUAUGCCCACCAAGGUACACUUACAAUGGAUGUAUCCAAACGGAAGGACAGUGCUCAUAUUAUUAAUGUAGAAGUUACUCACCAAUUUUGGUUUGCCCCUGAGACAAUCUUUGGCUGGGUCUGAAACAUUCUGGAAUUAUGUAUGUGUUUGGUUUCAAUAUUUUUAAAGGGGAAAAAUCUUCAUUUGAAAUGUUUUAUGGAGAAUUUAAAUGAACAGGCAUCAGGAGAUUCAAAGCACAGCAUCCAGAGCUAAAAAAACUUGUUAAGCAUGGGCGACUGGUGCCUCCUAAUACUGUGGGGGGCACCAGCGGCUGAUCGCUGAUGGGGGUGGGAUCCCUCAGUGGCUGAUCACUGGCUGAGGGCGGAGGGAGAAAAAAUUUG